ACACAUGCAAGUCGAACGGAGAUUACAGGCGGAAGUUUUCGGAUGGAAGCUUGUAAACUUAGUGGCGGACGGGUGAGUAACACGUGAGCAACCUGCCUAUCAGAGGGGGAUAACGAUUGGAAACGAUCGCUAAUACCGCAUGACAUAGCGGAACCGCAUGGUUCUGUUAUCAAAGAUUUAUCGCUGAUAGAUGGGCUCGCGUCCGAUUAGAUAGUUGGUGGGGUAACGGCCUACCAAGUCGACGAUCGGUAGCCGGACUGAGAGGUCGAACGGCCACAUUGGGACUGAGACACGGCCCAGACUCCUACGGGGGGCAGCAGUGGGGGAUAUUGCACAAUGGGGGAAACCCUGAUGCAGCGACGCCGCGUGAGGGAAGACGGUCCUCUGGAUUGUAAACCUCUGUCUUCGGGGACGAAACGAGACGGUACCCGAGGAGGAAGCCACGGCUAACUACGUGCCAGCAGCCGCGGUAAUACGUAGGUGGCAAGCGUUGUCCGGAAUUACUGGGUGUAAAGGGAGCGUAGGCGGGCAGGCAAGUCAGGCGUGAAAUAUAUCGGCUCAACCGGUAACGGCGCUUGAAACUGCAGGUCUUGAGUGAAGUAGAGGUUGGCGGAAUUCCUAGUGUAGCGGUGAAAUGCGUAGAUAUUAGGAGGAACACCAGUGGCGAAGGCGGCCAACUGGGCUUUUACUGACGCUGAGGCUCGAAAGUGUGGGGAGCAAACAGGAUUAGAUACCCUGGUAGUCCACACCGUAAACGAUGAUUACUAGGUGUGGGGGGACUGACCCCUUCCGUGCCGGA
rnacentral:rRNA from 1 species